rnacentral:antisense_RNA from 1 species
AAGAUGACUUUUAACUUCUUGGAGAAUAUCCUUUCAGAUAGUUGUCUUUGCAAAUGUAUACUUUUAAUGUUUUUUCGUUUGCCUUUUUAAAAUAAUUUUUUUGGGGGACAGGGUCUUUCUCUGUCACCCAGGCUGUAGUGCAGUAGAACGAUUAUUAGUUCAUUGCAACCCCGACGUCCUGGGUUCAAGCUAUCCUCACCUCUCAGCCUCUAGACUGGCUAUGACCACAGCCUCGAGCCAUCAUGCCUGGCUAAUUUUUGCAUUUUUUGUAGAGAUGGGGGUCUCACAGUGUUGUCCAGGCUGGUCUUAAACUCCUUGCUUCAAUAGAUCCUCACACUCCAGCCUCCCAAAAUGUGAUUACAGGCUGAGUCACCACGCCCAGCAUGGUUUGUUUUUUUUUUUUUGUAAGCAAAAUUGACGUACAUACUGGAGGUACAAUUCUGUAGCUGGCCUUCUUUACAGAGUUUAGAAUAAAUGUCUUUCCAUGUCAAGUUUUCAUUUACAUCCUUUGUAAUAGUUGCAAAAUAUUCCAUUUUAUAGCUGUAUCUUAAUUGUGGAUUAAGGUUGGAGUGCAGUGGCACUAUCAUGGCUUAGUCCAGCCUCAGCCUUCUAGGUUCAAGUAAUCUUCCCACCUCAGCCUCCCAAGAAGCUAGGACUACAGGGACCCACCACCACACCUAGCUAAUUAAAAAAAAAAAUUGUAGAGAUGGAGUCUCAGUGUGUAGCCCAGUCUCAAGUGACCCUCCCUCCUUGGCCUCCCAAAGUGCUGAGAUUGCUGCUCCUAAGGAGGCAGCAGAAACCAAGGUAAUCACAAUGGUCAACAGCAGCGAAGGCAGCACUUUCUGA